AGUGGGAUAGCUGGGCCAAAUGGUGGUUUCAUUCCAAGGAAUCUCCAUAAUGCUUUCCAUAUUGGCUGCACCAGUUUGCAGUUCCAUAAGCAAU
rnacentral:pre_miRNA from 1 species